rnacentral:lncRNA from 1 species
CCGGGGCAACAAAGCAAUGUAACCUUAAGCUCACCUCUAUCCAUUUGAAAAAGGCGUCAAAUGGACCAUUCGCAGAUAAAACAAGAAUCUCUCGCUCCAACAGAGGGUUUGAGAAUGAGGAAGAGCUAGCACUGAUAUAUAUACUCAGAGCCUAAGGCCUUAGCACAAGGCAGAGUUAUGCUAGACUCUAAGCUAACGAUGUCCGAAUCUUAAAAGACAUUCAUGGAAGAGGAAAGAAAAGGCAUGACCAGACGAUGGUGACAGGAAAGCAAAGAUAGUAGAGAACACGGAGAAUAGAGAAAAGCCAGAAAGGGGAAAGAGCAGAUAGGAUUCAAAAACUGAGCAAUGACAAAAAGAUGAAAGGGUGUUAUGAAGGCAUCUGAACACGAACAGGCGCGGUCAUAAUGGUUCUCGGUAUUCACCCCUCGGCAGUUGGAGCAAUAACUACCGAGAAGGUGAAGGGGCAAUUGAUGACCGCUGGAUUUCUUCACCCCGGUCUGGGGCCUCGGCCACAACCUAAAGCCCACAAAGUAAAUGCCCACCUACUUGGUACUCAAAGCAGGCCCGGUUCAUCCAACCUUCAAGGCCGGGCUCGACCAAGCUUCCUCACUUAGAUCGACCCAGUCCGCGAUCGCAGGCCCUUUCCUCUCUGGCCCAACUGUCAGCCCAACCCAGGAUCCAUAAUGAUACUCACCAGACAGCCUGGCAUAUCCGCU